rnacentral:sRNA from 1 species
GUUUGAACAACUUAGCUAACUUGUUAAAACGACGUAGCUAAUUUAAAUCGUUAUAACAACUUAGCUAAGUCGUUAUAACAAGUUAGCUAAGUUGUUUAAAC